UACGUAGGGUGCGAGCGUUGUCCGGAAUUAUUGGGCGUAAAGGGCUCGUAGGCGGUCCAUCACGUCGGGAGUGAAAAGCUGGGGCUUAACCCCAGUCCUGCUUCCGAUACGGGUGGACUAGAGGUAGGCAGGGGAGAACGGAAUUCCGGGUGUAGCGGUGGAAUGCGUAGAGAUCCGGAAGAACACCGGGGGCGAAGGCGGCUCGCUGGGCAUGGUCCGACGCUGAGGCGCGAAAGCGUGGGGAGCGAACAGG
rnacentral:rRNA from 1 species